rnacentral:rRNA from 1 species
ACACUGCUCAGUAACACGUAGCUAACCUACCCUUAGGACGUGGAUACCCCCGAGAAAUUGGGGUUAAUCCGCGAUAGAUGUAAUGUCCUGGAAUGGUAUUACGUCUAAAGGUAUUUCAUACAUGUUUGAAAUAUGCCUAAGGAUGGGGCUGCGGCCGAUCAGGCUGUUGGUGAGGUAAUGGCUCACCAAACCUUUGACCGGUACGGGCCAUGAGAGUGGUAGCCCGGAGAUGGACACUGAGACAAGGGUCCAGGCCCUACGGGGCGCAGCAGGCGCGAAACCUCCUCAAUGCACUCACGUGCGAUGGGGCUAUCUCGAGUGCCACCUGAUGAAGGUGGCUUUUCCUUGGUCUUCAAAGCCUUGGGAAUAAGAGGGGGGCAAGACUGGUGUCAGCCGCCGCGGUAACACCAGCCCCUCGAGUGGUGGGGAUGAUUAUUUGGCCUAAAGCGUCCGUAGCCGGCCGGGUAAGUUUCCCGUUAAAUCCAGCGUCUCAAGCGUUGGACUGCGGGAAAUACUGCCUGGCUAGAGAGUGGGAGAGGUCAGCGGUAUUCUGGGGGUAGGGGCGAAAUCCUUUGAUCCCCGGAGGACCACCAGUGGCGAAGGCUGCUGACUAGAACACGUCUGACGGUCAGGGACGAAAGCUGGGGUAGCGAGCCGGAUUAGAUACCCGGGUAGUCCCAGCCGUAAACGAUGCAUGCUAGGUGUUGGGUUGGCCACGAGCCACCCCAGUGCCGCAGGGAAGCCGUUAAGCAUGCCGCCUGGGAAGUACGAUCGCAAGAUUGAAACUUAAAGGAAUUGGCGGGGGAGCACCACCAGGCGUGAAGCCUGCGGUUUAAUUGGAUUCAACGCCGGA